CCUACGGGAGGCUGCAGUGGGGAAUAUUGGACAAUGGGCGAAAGCCUGACCCAGCAACGCCGCGUGAAGGAAGAAGGCUUUCGGGUUGUAAACUUCUUUUGACAGGGAAGAGCAGACGACGGUACCUAUCGACUAAGCCACGGCUAACUACGUGCCAGCAGUCGCGGUAAUACGUAGGUGGCACGCGUUGUCCGGAUUUACUGGGUGUAAAGGGCGUGUAGCCGGGCUGACAAGUCAGAUGUGAAAUCCGGGGGCUCAACCACCGAACUGCAUUUGAAACUGUUGGGCUUGAGUAUCGUAGAGGCAGGCAGAAUUCAUGGUGUAGCGGUGAAAGGCGUAGAGAUUAGGAGGAAUACCAGUGGCGAAGGCGGCCUGCUGGACGAAAACUGACGGUGAGGCGCGAAAGCGUGGGGAGCAAACAGGAUUAGAUACCCGGGUAGUC
rnacentral:rRNA from 1 species